UGGGGAAUAUUGCACAAUGGGCGCAAGCCUGAUGCAGCCAUGCCGCGUGUAUGAAGAAGGCCUUCGGGUUGUAAAAUACUUUCAGCGUGGAGGAAGGGAGUAAAGUUAAUACCUUUGCUCAUUGACGUUACCCGCAGAAGAAGCACCGGCUAACUCCGUGCCAGCAGCCGCGGUAAUACGGAGGGGGCAAGCGUUAAUCGGAAUUACUGGGCGUAAAGCGCACGCAGGCGGUUUGUUAAGUCAGAUGUGAAAUCCCCGGGCUCAACCUGGGAACUGCAUCUGAGACUGGCAAGAUUGAGUCUCGUAGAGGGGGGUAGAAUUACAGGUGUAGCGGUGAAAUGCGUAGAGAUCUGGAGGAAUACCGGUUGGGAAGGCGGCCCCCUGGACGAAGACUGACGCUCAGGUGCGAAAGCGUGGGGAGCAAACAGG
rnacentral:rRNA from 1 species